CCGGGGGCAGGGCCCAGGUGUGACUGGGCGUGGCCUCCAGGUGAGGCGGGGUGGGACCGAGAGGAGUGUGCUUGAGACUGGGCAGGUGGUGGGGCCUCCAGGUAAAGCAGGGACGGGACCCGAGCAGAGGGCCCCCCAGACCCCGUCAUCCCAUGGCCUGCCUGCCGGCUCACCUCCUCAUAGUCGUUUUCCGGGCUCAGGAAGUCAUCUACGAUAGAGACCCGGGGGCCCAGCUGCUCACUUAGCACGUCCAGGAAGCGGUCAGUGUCCCGGCUUCGCACUGGCCGAGAGAAGACAUGGAGAUGAGAGAGGGAGAAGUAGACGGAGAGAAGAGAGACACCGUGGUGCCCCCAUCCUAGGAGCACCCUGGAGCUCUGUCCAGGGCCGCAAGGACACAGCCAGCAGGCCGCACAGUGAGCCCUCUCUGGUUCAGGAUCAGCGGGGGUGGGGUGGGGGGGGAGGUCCUGUCAGCUGAGCCCUCCCAUGGAGUCUGCAUCCCCAACUCUGUCUUGUGGCUGUGCAACAAAGAAGGGCCCCAGGGCUGUGCCUGGAUGUGGGGGUCACACCCAGGCAGACAGUGGGGAGGCUAGAAGGCCUUGGGCCUAGGCCUGGUGGAGCCCUACCUGCUGAGGCUGCCAGGCUGGGCACUGGAGGAGAGACCCGGGACUUGGACGUGGUCCCCACCUUCCCUUUGAAGCUGCUGUUCAGCCUGGACUCCAGCUCCGCGUAGACGGCUGACAUCUGGGGAGCAGCACGCAGCCUCGGCCUUGGGAGAGAGCCUGCAUCUCACAGCCCCCUGGUGCCCAGGAACCUGCCACUAUCGCACCAGGCGGUCUGCCCGGACCCUUACCACAGCCCAGGCUGGUGUCCAAGCCCUGUGAGCGGAGGCUGAGGCUGCGGCGGCACAUGGAGGAGGCCCGCAGGGAGCUGUGGCGGUGGAGCUCUGGCACUGGCUCAGGCUCCGGCUCCGGCUCUGGGUCCAGCUCGGGCUCAGGCUCUGUAGCGGACAGCGUGUCAUGGGGGGUGGGUGGGUCAGAGGGUGUGGGGUCCCUGGGCUAGGAGAGGGGGUGCAGGAGCCCAGGGAUCACACCAUCCUGAACAGGACACUAGUGUCUGCAGGCCCAAAGCCAAGGACCCCAGACUUCCAAAUCUCAACCCCGAGUCCUGCUGCCCAUGGUGGUGGGGAUGGGAGUGUGACAGGCUGAAAUGGAGGGGACCCUGUCAUGGCAGGGGUGGGGACACACCAUCCCCAAGAUUAUGGGCCCUAAAACAUGGCAGAUUGGGCACACAGACCCAUCAGGUGUUUCAAGUCCAAGGUCAUAGGGCCAAGGAGACAGCAGUAGUUCUGCAGAAAACUAUCAUGCCUGAGGCUCUGAGGUCACACACUCAAUCCCAGCGCCAUUGUAGACCAGAGCUGAGCUGUGAUGUGAUUUUAAAUAUUAUUAUUGUUAAAUAAUAAUAAUAGCAACCCAGAAGGUGGCUCAGUGGCUAAAGUGUUGGACUCUUAGGCGCGAGGUCCUGAGUUUAACGCAUGUGCCACAACAGUGCUCCAACUCUCUCUCUUGUGAAAUAAAAAAAGGAAGUAAGUGGGGAGGCUGAUGUUAGGUAUUUGGAAGUGGGAGAUAACCACAUCCCAGUACCAGUACCCAGUGAAUUAAGUGUCAUUCCCCAAAGCACAUAUCUGAGACAGGACCAUAAUUACUGUAGCCCUACCAAGAAAAAUCAAUGUGAAGUUCAGCCAGACUCACUAGCAGAUAAUGCUUCUGUUAAAACAUUGAACUUGGAAAGUUCCAUGAAAAUGGAUAUUUUCGAUGAGUUUUUUUCCACUUCGGCACUAAAUUAUUUAGCAGAUGGCACCUUAGACUUACCUCAUUUUGAUGAGUAUCUGUUUGACAGUUGAAUGUUUGAUAACUUUUUUAGUUUAAUAUUUAUUAUCACUCUUGGGCAAAUGUACUAUUUUUUUAAGGUAGUGUUUAUAGUAUUGUCAUGAACAAAAUGUAAACUACUAAAGGUUUUGCUUCUGA